GUCUUUUUGUUUAUAAUUUAAAGUCUAAUCUGCCCACUGAUAAAAAAUAUUGAAGGGCUGCAGUAUUUUGACUGUACAAAGGUAGCAUAAUCAUUAGUCUCUUAAUUGGUGACUUGUAUGAAGGAUUUAAUGAAAUAUAUACUGUCUCUUUUAAAUUUAUAGAAUUUAAUUUUUUAGUUAAAAAGCUAAAAUUUGUUUAAAAGACGAGAAGACCCUAUAGAGUUUAAUAUUUUUAUUAAUUUUUAUUUUUUAUAAAAUUGUUAUUAUAAAAAUUAAUUAAAUUAUUUUGUUGGGGUGAUAGAAAAAUUAAAUUAACUUUUUUUAUAAUUUUAACAUUAAUUUAUGAUUAAAUGAUCCGUAAUUUACGAUUAUAAGAUAAAAUUACCUUAGGGAUAACAGCGUAAUUUUUUUUUUUAGUUCAUAUAAGAAAAAAAGUUUGCGACCUCGAUGUUGGAUUAAGAUAAAAUUUAAAUGCAAAAGUUUAAAAUUUUGAUCUGUUCGAUCAUUAAAAUCUUACA
rnacentral:rRNA from 1 species